GGCUGCGAAUAUUAAUAGCCUCGAAACUUAUGACUCAUACUAUUUGCUGACUGGAUUGUUUUUAAUUGUUUUAUAUUAACAUUUGGAAUGUAAACAUUUUAAAGAUGAACCGUGUGUACAAUUUCCAUGGAUUAAACAGUUAAAGAAGACACUUUUCCACAAAAAUGAGACGUUCAGCUCGAAAGAGGAAUCCGCCUGCCAGACUUGAAGACCAUGGCGAGCCGCCGCCACAAAAAAGUAAGCCACAAAAGAAAUCACAAACCCCGACAGCUCAUAAAGUACCUAUAACGCCUAGGGGACCUACACAGCAACAUGGGUUAAAUUCUUCGGCUACAUUAUCGCCUUAUUCACAUACGUCCACGUCAAGGGCACCUACACUACCAGCAAGGGCAAGUACAUCAUCGCCUAUAACAGCUAUAUCACAACAAGCGGACAUGGCGCAGCAGUGUUUGGAGAAAGACAUCAAGUUGGCAAAUCGACAAGAAGAACUGGAGAUGACACAGUCUUUCUGAUAUUGAGAUUUGCCGAAAAGCCAUUAUUAAGAAUUUCGUCGCACUCAAGAAGUAUUUGCAUCCUGAUCCUAUAAUUGAUUGUGAUACAGGCUUUGAAUUACUCAACGUCGCAGACAGAAGGAAUAUCCAGGGUAAGGAUCCAACUGAUAAGAAUGAAACGAUAUUGAGAAAAGUAAUAUCCAAAGGUGCUAAAGGUUACACAGAUUUUAAGGAUCGUCUUAAAAAGACUUUGCAGACUGAAUUAUUAGAGCUGAUCGUUUGUGCAGAGAAUGGCCAGGACACAAAAGAGAUUGAGAGUCGGCUUGAGAAAACUGCAUUGUUAUGUCCAGAGUAUAUCAAACAAAGAGGUGGUAAGUAAAUUAUGUUACGUUUGCGUGAGCACUGUGUUCAGUGGUAAGGAUUUGUGACUGCAAGCAUGUCGAUUGUUCCAGCAUUGUCUGUUAACAAAAUUUUCACCUGACUCAAAUAAUCAAUAAAUAUCAACUUUUACAGAAAUGAUUUAAAGUGAGCCUUCUACAAUAUUUUUCCCUUAUUGGUUUAUGUUUGAUAGUAAGUAGGCCAUGUUUAGUU